rnacentral:rRNA from 1 species
UGAGUUACGCUCUAUAACCCUUUGUGAACAUACCUAUAACUGUUGCUUCGGCGGGUAGGGUCUCCGUGACCCUCCCGGCCUCCCGCCCCCGGGCGGGUCGGCGCCCGCCGGAGGAUAACCAAACUCUGAUUUAACGACGUUUCUUCUGAGUGGUACAAGCAAAUAAUCAAAACUUUUAACAACGGAUCUCUUGGUUCUGGCAUCGAUGAAGAACGCAGCGAAAUGCGAUAAGUAAUGUGAAUUGCAGAAUUCAGUGAAUCAUCGAAUCUUUGAACGCACAUUGCGCCCGCCAGCAUUCUGGCGGGCAUGCCUGUUCGAGCGUCAUUUCAACCCUCAAGCUCUGCUUGGUGUUGGGGCCCUACAGCUGAUGUAGGCCCUCAAAGGUAGUGGCGGACCCUCCCGGAGCCUCCUUUGCGUAGUAACUUUACGUCUCGCACUGGGAUCCGGAGGGACUCUUGCCGUAAAACCCCCAAUUUUCCAAAGGUUGACCUCGGAUCAGGUAGGAAUACCCGCUGAACUUAAGCAUAUCAAUAAGCGGAGGAAAAGAAACCAACAGGGAUUGCCUCAGUAACGGCGAGUGAAGCGGCAACAGCUCAAAUUUGAAAUCUGGCCCUAGGCCCGAGUUGUAAUUUGCAGAGGAUGCUUUUGGUGCGGUGCCUUCCAAGUUCCCUAGAACGGGACGCCAGAGAGGGUGAGAGCCCCGUACAGUUGGACACCAAGCCUUUGUAAAGCUCCUUCGACGAGUCGAGUAGUUUGGGAAUGCUGCUCAAAAUGGGAGGUAUAUUUCUUCUAAAGCUAAAUACCGGCCAGAGACCGAUAGCGCACAAGUAGAGUGAUCGAAAGAUGAAAAGCACUUUGAAAAGAGGGUUAAACAGCACGUGAAAUUGUUAAAAGGGAAGCGCUUGUGACCAGACUUGCGUCCGGUGAAUCACCCAGCUCUCGCGGCUGGGGCACUUCGCCGGCUCAGGCCAGCAUCAGCUCGCUGUCGGGGACAAAAGCUUCAGGAACGUAGCUCUCUUCGGGGAGUGUUAUAGCCUGUUGCAUAAUACCCUUCGGCGGGCUGA